AUCUUCUUCCAUGUUUGUAGUGUGGCGUGUGUGCAAGGCUGCUACCCUGACCAGCUGCUAGCACAGUGGGAUAUCUACAACAAGAAAAGGAAGUCGGAAAACGAUCGACCAGAUAUGUUUGAUGAAAACCAGCUGUUUUAUCUUGUUUGAGUUUGCUGAUGGGGGCUCAGACCUUGAGUCUUUUCAGUUUGUCAACCCAUGGCAAGCCAAGAGGCGUUCUCCAACAAGUGUGU